GUGUCAGCAGCCGCGGUAACACGUAGGAGACGAGCGUUAUCCGGAUUUACUGGGUGUAAAGCGCGUGCAGGCGGUCCAAUAAGUUGGAUGUGAAAGCUCCUGGCUUAACUGGGAGAGGUCGUUCAAGACUGUUGGACUAGAGGAUGACAGAGGGGAGUGGAAUUCCGAGUGUAGCGGUAAAAUGCAUAGAUAUUCGGAAGAACACCAGUGGCGAAGGCGGCUCUCUGGGUCAUAUCUGACGCUCAGACGCGAAAGCUAGGGUAGCAAACGGGAUUAGAAACCCUGGUAGUCC
rnacentral:rRNA from 1 species